rnacentral:misc_RNA from 1 species
UUAAUUCAUUCAAAAAAAUAUGGCACUGGGCCAACUCAGACUGCUGAUUCAAUAGUUUGCUUUGAACAGACCCUCUCCCAGGAGCCUACAUAGUAAAGUAAAUUCAACUAGCAGGAAGGGUUAAACAACUAGUAAAACCAACCACCUGGGAAAGCAACAUGGAUCAGUACACAGAGAGGUUUUGGGUCAGGAAACACUUAUAUGUUCCAUAUAUAAAUAAUGAUCCUUCCGCAGGUUCACCUACGGAAA